AACGAACGCUGGCGGCAUGCCUAACACAUGCAAGUCGAACGAGACCUUCGGGUCUAGUGGCGCACGGGUGCGUAACGCGUGGGAACCUGCCUUUAGGUUCGGAAUAACUCAGAGAAAUUUGAGCUAAUACCGGAUAAUGUCUUCGGACCAAAGAUUUAUCGCCUUUAGAUGGGCCCGCGUUGGAUUAGCUAGUUGGUGGGGUAAAGGCCUACCAAGGCGACGAUCCAUAGCUGGUCUGAGAGGAUGAUCAGCCACACUGGGACUGAGACACGGCCCAGACUCCUACGGGAGGCAGCAGUGGGGAAUAUUGGACAAUGGGCGAAAGCCUGAUCCAGCAAUGCCGCGUGAGUGAUGAAGGCCUUAGGGUUGUAAAGCUCUUUUACCCGAGAUGAUAAUGACAGUAUCGGGAGAAUAAAGCUCCGGCUAACUCCGUGCCAGCAG
rnacentral:rRNA from 1 species